UCACUAACACAGUGACAUGCACUGACUGACACAUACACUCCCUAACACAGUGACAUGCACUGACUGACACACACACUCACUAACACAGUGACAUGCACUGACUGACACACACACUCACUAACACAGUGACAUGCACUGACUGACACACUCACUAACACAGUGAUAUGCACUUACUGACACACACUCACUAACACAGUGACAUGCACUGACUGACACACACACUCACUAACUGUCAGGAUCACCAUUGUGCUUUACACAAUAUUGUGUAUUUGGGUCUGGCUGGGAUCAAACCUGAGUUUCCUGCAUCCCAGUCGGUAUCCUUGCAUUGAGCUCCACGCAUCUUUGACUGUUUCUGGUUGUUCUUG